rnacentral:rRNA from 1 species
UUUUUUCAAGGGGCGCCUGCGAGUUGCUCUAGACCCAGGUGCGCACGGCGGGCGACGAGUGGCCUUCGUGCCGGCAGUCCAGGUGCUUCGUUUUCUUUGUGUGUUCCGUUGUUCUUUCGCACCCCGCCGCCUUCCUUUCCCACUUCUUUGGUCUCCUUGGGUUCUUUUCCAUCCACCGGAGGAAGGUUUGGUUGGGUUGGGUUGGGGCCCGCCGCCUUUAUUUAGUCGUUAGGGGACGCUAAAUGACGGCGGAGUCUAAGCGUCGAAAGCCCCUCGCCUAACGACGCGUUUACCCCAGGCCUAGAAAGGAGUUCCACGAGCAGUCGUUGGAGCUGCAGGAGCGGCCCGGGUAUCAAAGUGAGCGAAUAGGAGACAUACGCAGACAAGCUCGUUAUCUUUGUUUUAGAGGAUAUCUACUAGUCGUUACCGAGUGAAUGACCCACGACAUGAGCAAAUAGUGAGACAAACUCGAGUGAAAACGACGUCAUUAACUUACCGAGGGAAAGACCAGAAUACCUUUCGACAAAAAGUUAACGACCAACCAGAACGGGAUGAAGUUGCCACGACGCGUACAAAUACUCGUAAAACACGCCGGUUACUAACACUUGGUCGUUCAACAUUUGUAGACCAUAGAAGGUUUUUUCCUUCCAAGUCUAUUUGGACUGCUACAUUAAAGUCGACGUGUCUUUAUGUAACUUGUUUUACCUAGUUUUCGUAAACUCUGAGAGCAAUUGUUCAAAUUCUGAUGUUUGCGCUCCGCGAGUUAAAACCUCCUCCAUCUCCACCUUUCCUCUCGGUCCCGACUUGCUCUUGACCUUCGCUCCCUACACUUAGGUAAGAAGGUGGGCUUAAUGACUAAGACCUUUCGAGAAGACAAGUCCGCAGUCCACUGUGUUACAUACAAGUGGACUACACGACGAUCAAGAAAAAUCGAAUAUAUGAUAUAAAUCGGGACGUAAAACACACUAAAGAGGAAGUCACGGAAAUUACAUCCUUAACCAGUCUGGUCCAGUUCCCCUCUUAAGAUCUCCUAGCAUAAAUCUAAACUAUAUAAUGUAUCGACUUGUUAAUACUUUAGAACAUUUAUCCAAGACCGAAACCUACCAAUACUGAAAGAGUACCUACUGACUUUAAACACAUACGUAGUUAUCGUAAGACCGUCAGUCUUAUAAAGAGGUUCGUUGUACACAACGUCAUGACCGUUUACUUGCUCUUUUACUUCCGUUGACCUAAAUUCUUCGACCGAGUACCCUUAUAUGUGAAUCUUCAUAACAUAAGAGGCAAAAUCUGUACACUUUACUUCGUUGUAGAAGGUGACGUUGAGAUCGAAGUUUG